rnacentral:rRNA from 1 species
AGAGUUUGAUCAUGGCUCAGAACGAACGCUGGCGGCGUGCCUAACACAUGCAAGUCGGACGGAGUUAGCGAGGAGCACAGAGCGUAGAGGAGGGAAGAGGUUAAAGAGACUCUGCACUCUGUGCUCUUUGCUAACUUAGUGGCGGACGGGUGAGUAACACGUAGGUAACCUACCCAAGAGAGGGGGACAACUCAGGGAAACUUGGGCUAAUACCCCAUAAGACCACGUGCUGGGAAGCAUGAGGUAAAAGGUAGCAAUACGCUCAUGGAUGGGCCUGCGGCCUAUCAGGUAGUUGGUGGGGUAACGGCUCACCAAGCCAAAGACGGGUAGCCGGGCUGAGAGGUUGGACGGCCACACUGGAACUGAGAUACGGUCCAGACUCCUACGGGAGGCAGCAGUGGGGAAUAUUGCACAAUGGGGGAAACCCUGAUGCAGCGACGCCGCGUGGAGGAUGAAGGCCUUCGGGUUGUAAACUCCUUUUCUUGGGGAAAAUGGUGAUGGUACCCAAGGAAUAAGCCACGGCUAACUCUGUGCCAGCAGCCGCGGUAAGACAGAGGUGGCGAGCGUUGUUCGGAAUUACUGGGCUUAAAGGGCGAGUAGGCGGUGGGACAAGUCUGAGGUGGAAUCCUAUGGCUUAACCAUAGAAUUGCCUUAGAAACUGUUUUACUUGAGUCAGUGAGGGGAGGGCGGAAUUCCCGGUGUAGCGGUGAAAUGCGUAGAUAUCGGGAGGAAGGCCGGUGGCGAAGGCGGCUCUGGCACUGUACUGACGCUGAGGGCGAAAGCGUGGGGAGCAAACAGGAUUAGAUACCCUAGUAGUCC